rnacentral:rRNA from 1 species
ACGGGUGAGUAAUGCCUAGGAAUCUGCCUGGUAGUGGGGGACAACGUCUCGAAAGGGACGCUAAUACCGCAUACGUCCUACGGGAGAAAGCAGGGGACCUUCGGGCCUUGCGCUAUCAGAUGAGCCUAGGUCGGAUUAGCUAGUUGGUGAGGUAAUGGCUCACCAAGGCGACGAUCCGUAACUGGUCUGAGAGGAUGAUCAGUCACACUGGAACUGAGACACGGUCCAGACUCCUACGGGAGGCAGCAGUGGGGAAUAUUGGACAAUGGGCGAAAGCCUGAUCCAGCCAUGCCGCGUGUGUGAAGAAGGUCUUCGGAUUGUAAAGCACUUUAAGUUGGGAGGAAGGGUUGUAGAUUAAUACUCUGCAAUUUUGACGUUACCGACAGAAUAAGCACCGGCUAACUCUGUGCCAGCAGCCGCGGUAAUACAGAGGGUGCAAGCGUUAAUCGGAAUUACUGGGCGUAAAGCGCGCGUAGGUGGUUUGUUAAGUUGGAUGUGAAAGCCCCGGGCUCAACCUGGGAACUGCAUUCAAAACUGACAAGCUAGAGUAUGGUAGAGGGUGGUGGAAUUUCCUG